CAAGUCGAGUGCGCGUUUUCCGUAGCAAUACGGAAAUGGCGCACGGCGCACGGGUGCGUAACACGUGGGUAAUCUGCCCUCUGAUGGGGAAUAACUCGCCGAAAGGCGAGCUAAUACCGCAUAACAUUCCUUGGACUCCGGUUCGAGGAUUCAAAGGCGUAAGUCGUCGGAGGUGGAGCCCGCGCACGAUUAGCUAGUUGGUGAGGUAAUGGCUCACCAAGGCUAUGAUCGUUAGCUGGUCUGAGAGGAUGGCCAGCCACACUGGAACUGAGACACGGUCCAGACUCCUACGGGAGGCAGCAGUGGGGAAUCUUGCACAAUGGGCGAAAGCCUGAUGCAGCGACGCCGCGUGGGGGAUGAAGCUUCUCGGAGUGUAAACCCCUUUCGACCGGGACGAAUACCUCGCAAGAGGGGUGACGGUACCGGUAUAAGAAGCCCCGGCUAACUACGUGCCAGCAGCCGCGGUAAGACGUAGGGGGCCAGCGUUGCUCGGAAUUACUGGGUGUAAAGGGUUCGUAGGCGGUGUGGCAAGUCGGGAGUGAAAUCUCUGAGCUUAACUCAGGGGCUGCUUCCGAAACUGCUGUGCUAGAGUGUGGGAGAGGCGCGUGGAAUUGCAGGUGUAGCGGUGAAAUGCGUAGAUAUCUGCAGGAACACCCGUGGCGAAAGCGGCGCGCUGGACCACUACUGACGCUGAGGAACGAAAGCUAGGGGAGCAAACAGGAUUAGAUACCCUGGUAGUCCUAGCCCUAAACGAUCAGGACUUGGGGUGCCACCCGUUCGGGUGUCGUCCCGGAGCUAACGCGUUAAGUCCUGCACCUGGGGAGUACGGUCGCAAGACUGAAACUCAAAGGAAUUGACGGGGGCCCGCACAAGCGGUGGAACAUGUGGUUCAAUUCGACGCUACGCGAGGAACCUUACCUGGGCUC
rnacentral:rRNA from 1 species